rnacentral:snRNA from 1 species
AUCACUUCUCGGCCUUUUGGCUAAGAUCAAGUGUAGUAUCUGAUCAGAAAUGGAUCCAAAAGAAGCUUGGAACUCCCA